UACGUAGGGUGCGAGCGUUGUCCGGAUUUAUUGGGCGUAAAGAGCUCGUAGGCGGCUUGUCGCGUCAACUGUGAAAACCCGUGGCUCAACCAUGUGGUCUGCAGUCGAUACGGGCGGGCUGGAGUUCGGUAGGGGAGACUGGAAUUCCUGGUGUAGCGGUGAAAUGCGCAGAUAUCAGGAGGAACACCGGUGGCGAAGGCGGGUCUCUGGGCCGAUACUGACGCUGAGGAGCGAAAGCGUGGGGAGCGAACAGG
rnacentral:rRNA from 1 species